rnacentral:misc_RNA from 1 species
GUGAGUCAUCGAAUCUUUGAACGCAACUUGCGCUCUCUGGUAUUCCGGAGAGCAUGCCUGUUUGAGUGUCAUGAAAUCUCAACCAUUAGGGUUUCUUAAUGGCUUGGAUUUGGGUGUUGCCAGUCUCUGGCUCGCCUUAAAGGAGUUAGCGAGUUUAACAAUGUCCUCUGACGUAAUAAGUUUCGUUGGAAAGGCUUGUGAAGUUUGCUUCUAAUCGUCUUCGGACAAUUACUUUGACUCUGGCCUCAAAUCAGGUAGGACUACCCGCUGAACUUAAGCAUAUCAAUAAGCGGAGGA